AGCGGUUGAUAAAGACAAACAGGCCAAGGAUCAAACUACGAAGAGCCAGAGCAGCAGUCCUGUCAUACUGAUACUGUGUUUACUUUGGUUUUGGCAACGUCUACAUGACUGACCCUUCUUGUACGACUGAAGAAACAUUGAAAGGUACGAGAGGAGACGAAAAAAACGAGCGAAAAAAAAUUCUGAGAAAGUUAUAGGAAUCAACACAGCGUCCAAAUAAAAAAGCGUUUUAAUAUCCAAA